rnacentral:rRNA from 1 species
UAGGGAAUCUUCCACAAUGGACGCAAGUCUGAUGGAGCAACGCCGCGUGAGUGAAGAAGGUCUUCGGAUCGUAAAGCUCUGUUGUUGGUGAAGAAGGAUAGAGGCAGUAACUGGUCUUUAUUUGACGGUAAUCAACCAGAAAGUCACGGCUAACUACGUGCCAGCAGCCGCGGUAAUACGUAGGUGGCAAGCGUUGUCCGGAUUUAUUGGGCGUAAAGCGAGCGCAGGCGGAAUGAUAAGUCUGAUGUGAAAGCCCACGGCUCAACCGUGGAACUGCAUCGGAAACUGUCAUCNNUGAGUGCAG